GUCUAAGUAUAAGCAAUUAUACGGCGAAACUGCGAAUGGCUCAUUAAAUCAGUUAUCGUUUAUUUGAUAGUACCUUACUACUUGGAUAACCGUGGUAAUUCUAGAGCUAAUACAUGCUAAAAACCCCGACUUCGGGAGGGGUGUAUUUAUUAGAUUAAAAACCGACGCCCUUCGGGGCUCCUUGGUGAUUCAUGAUAACUUCUCGGAUCGCACGGCCUUGCGCCGGCGACGGUUCAUUCAAAUUUCUGCCCUAUCAACUUUCGACGGCUGGGUAUUGGCCAGCCGUGGUGACAACGGGUAACGGAGGGUUAGGGCUCGACCCCGGAGAAAACGCCUGAGAAACGGCGUUUACAUCCAAGGAAGGCAGCAGGCGCGCAAAUUACCCAAUGCCGACACGGCGAGGUAGUGACGAUAAAUACUGGUACGGGGCUCUUUCGGGUCUCGUAACUGGAAUGAGUACAAUUUAAAUCCCUUAACGAGGAACAAUUGGAGGGCAAGUCUGGUGCCAGCAGCCGCGGUAAUUCCAGCUCCAAUAGCGUAUAUUAACAUUGCUGAGGUUAAAAAGCUCGUAGUUGAACCUUGGGCCUGGCUGGCCGGUCCGCCUCACCGCGUGCACUGGUCCGGCCGGGCCUUUCCCUCCGGGGAUCCCCAUGCCCUUCACUGGGCGUGGCGGGGAACCGGGACUUUUACUUUGAAAAAAUUAGAGUGUUCAAAGCAGGCCUAUGCUCGAAUACAUUAGCAUGGAAUAAUAGAAUAGGACGCGCGGUUCUAUUUUGUUGGUUUCUAGGACCGCCGUAAUGAUUAAUAGGGACAGUCGGGGGCGUCAGUAUUCAAUUGUCAGAGGUGAAAUUCUUGGAUUUAUUGAAGACUAACUACUGCGAAGGCAUUCGCCAAGGAUGUUUUCAUUAAUCAGGAACGAAAGUUAGGGGAUCGAAGACGAUCAGAUACCGUCGUAGUCUUAACCGUAAACUAUGCCUGUUAGGGAUCGGACGGUGUUAUUUUGUGACCCGUCCGGCACCUUACACGAAAGU
rnacentral:rRNA from 1 species